rnacentral:tRNA from 1 species
GCCUUAUUAGCUCAGCUAGUUAGAGCGUCGUACUAAUAUCUUCAUCUUGUGAUAUCAAGUCAUGCGAAGGUCAACAGUUCAAUCCUGUUAUUGGGCA